CCCUUAGAUGUUCUGGGCUGCACGCGCGCGACACUGAUGCGCUCAAGGAGUUUACGACCUUGCCUGGAAAGGUUGGGUAAUCUUCUUAAAAAACAUCGUGAUGGAGCUAGAUUAUUGCAACUAUUAAUCUUCAACGAGGAAUUCCUAGUAAGCGCGAGUCAUCAGCUCGUGCUGAUUACGUCCCUGCCCUUUGUACACACCGCCCGUCGCUCCUACCGAUUGCGUGCUACUGAAUAAUUCGGACUGCAGCAACGUUCGGUUCCUGAAUGUCGCAGUGGAAAGUUUAGUGAACCUUAUCACUUAGAGAAAAAAAAAGUCGUAACA
rnacentral:rRNA from 1 species